UGAGGAAUAUUGGUCAGUGGGUGCAAGCCUGAACCAGCCAUCCCGCGUGAAGGACGACUGCCCUAUGGGUUGUAAACUUCUUUUGUAUAGGGAUAAACCUACCCUCGUGAGGGUAGCUGAAGGUACUAUACGAAUAAGCACCGGCUAACUCCGUGCCAGCAGCCGCGGUAAUACGGAGGGUGCAAGCGUUAUCCGGAUUUAUUGGGUUUAAAGGGUCCGUAGGCGGACUUAUAAGUCAGUGGUGAAAGCCUGUCGCUUAACGAUAGAACUGCCAUUGAUACUGUAAGUCUUGAGUAUAUUUGAGGUAGCUGGAAUAAGUAGUGUAGCGGUGAAAUGCAUAGAUAUUACUUAGAACACCAAUUGCGAAGGCAGGUUACCAAGAUAUAACUGACGCUGAGGGACGAAAGCGUGGGGAGCGAACA
rnacentral:rRNA from 1 species